UUCAAGUUCCAGAGGCUUGGUCUGGGGGAGACAAACCACGCUGGGAUUCAGGGUACUCCUAUACUAUAUCUCUGUUACUCACCAGCUUAUAGAAGCCAUUUAUCCUCCAAAAUUGAGGGAUGAUAACUCCAUUAAUGCAAGAAAGUUAUCCUGUUUGCAUCCAAAGUCAAAUUUCUAAAGAGGAAAUAAAAGCACAAGCAAAACAAAACAACAAGGUCCUGCAUCCCUAGGACCUGAAACUGAGAGCCACAAUCAUCCAGCCCUGUGCCACUGGAGCUACUAUAGCACUAGAAUGGAGCCUGUUAGCUGUAGCCAGUCUAACAGACCACAAACAGUGCCUCAUCCCAUUCUCUUUGGGAGCAUCUACCUAACAGAGAGUGAAAGAAAGAGAAGGUGGAGAACAAGGCUGAUUCAAGGUCCCCAGAAGAAUUUUUAACAUGUUUUCUUUCUCUCACAUUUUUUAGAGAGAAAUCAGAAUAAAAUUAUAGGUAGCAUAUGAUGAAAACUUAUGGGCAAAGGAAGGAAGUUUUUAAAUAAGUGUUACUUUGGAAUAUAUCACCCAAUUAUGUUUGAAUGAUAUAAGCAUAUAAUUGAGUUACCUUUC